AAUGAACGCUGGCGGCGUGCUUAACACAUGCAAGUCGAACGAGAAAGUCUCUUCGGAGAUGAGUACAGUGGCGAACGGGUGAGUAACACGUAAGAAUUUUCCCUCUAGUGAAGAAUAACUUCGAGAAAUCGAAGCUAAUACGGCAUACUCCCUUCGGGGAAAAAGGUGGCCUCUUGCUGCCGCUAGAGGAUAAGCUUGCGUACUAUUAGCUUGUUGGUGGGGUAAAGGCCUACCAAGGCUUUGAUGGUUAGCCGGCCUGAGAGGGUGAACGGCCACAUUGGGACUGAGAUACGGCCCAG
rnacentral:rRNA from 1 species